AACGCACAUUGCGCCCCUUGGUAUUCCGGGGGGCAUGCCUGUUCGAGCGUCAUUAUAACCCUCAAGCCUAGCUUGGUGUUGGAGCAUGCUACCUAGCAGCUCUUAAAAUCAGUGGCAGUGCCCUUCGGCUCUAAGCGUAGUAACUUCUCUCGCUAUGGAAACCGGGUGGUAUGCGCCAAAACCCCCAACUUUCUAAGGUUGACCUCGGAUCAGGUAGGGAUACCCGCUGAACUUAA
rnacentral:misc_RNA from 1 species